GGAAUGUCAGAAGCGAAAUCAGAGAAUUCGCCACUGAUUGAUUUUAAAAGCGGGUUUAUGAAUAUAACUCUCGGCUAAAGGAAUGCAAUCAUUUUAGUUUCGAUGUGGCACGUCAAUAAAAUUUAAGAAC